rnacentral:rRNA from 1 species
AACGAACGCUGGCGGCGUACUUAACACAUGCAAGUCGUACGAGAAAUUCCGCUUCGGCGGGAGAGUAAAGUGGCGAACGGGUGAGUAAUACAAGGGUAAUCUGCCCUUAAAUUAGGGAUAACCUUGCGAAAGCGAAGCUAAUACCUGAUAAGACUACGACCCCUUAGGGGGAUGUAGGAAAAGAUGGCCUCUGUUUCAAGCUAUCGUUUAAGGAUGAGCCCUUGCACUAUUAGCUUGUUGGUGGGGUAACGGCCUACCAAGGCGACGAUGGUUAGCUGGUCUGAGAGGAUGAUCAGCCACACUGGAACUGAGACACGGUCCAGACUCCUACGGGAGGCAGCAGUGAGGAAUAUUGCGCAAUGGGGGAAACCCUGACGCAGUGACGCCGCGUGAGUGAUGAAGGCUUUCGAGUCGUAAAGCUCUGUUAGGUGGAAAGAAACAUUCCAACGCUAAUAUCGUUGGAACUUGACGGUACCACCAGAGGAAGCACCGGCUAACUCCGUG